rnacentral:rRNA from 1 species
UACGUAGGGUGCGAGCGUUAAUCGGAAUUACUGGGCGUAAAGCGCGUGUAGGCGGCCCGAUAAGUCCGCUGUGAAAGUCCAGGGCUCAACCCUGGAAUGCCGGUGGAUACUGUCGGGCUAGAGUCCGGAAGAGGCGAGUGGAAUUCCUGGUGUAGCGGUGAAAUGCGCAGAUAUCAGGAGGAACACCAAUGGCGAAGGCAGCUCGCUGGGACGUGACUGACGCUGAGACGCGAAAGCGUGGGGAGCAAACAGG